rnacentral:rRNA from 1 species
AGGACGAACGCUGGCGGCGUGCCUAACACAUGCAAGUCGAACGAGAUCCAACUUGUGGCAACACUUGCGAAGAUCUAGUGGCGAACGGGUGAGUAACACGUGAGGAACCUACCCCGGAGACCGGGAUAACUGGCCGAAAGGCCAGCUAAUACCGGAUAUCCCCAUUGGAUCGCAUGGUCUGAUGUGGAAAUGGAUUCCGCUCCGGGAGGGCCUCGCGGCCCAUCAGCUCGUUGGUGAGGUAACGGCUCACCAAGGCAUCGACGGGUAGCUGGUCUGAGAGGACGACCAGCCACACUGGGACUGAGACACGGCCCAGACUCCUACGGGAGGCAGCAGUGGGGAAUCUUGCGCAAUGGGCGAAAGCCUGACGCAGCAACGCCGCGUGGGGAUGAAGGCCUUCGGGUUGUAAACCCCGUUUCGGCAGGGACGAAAGUUGACGGUACCUGCAGAAGAAGCCCGGCUAACUACGUGCCAGCAGCCGCGGU